CAGGCUGUUGCUGCGGGUGAGGUCACGCUCACUCAUGGCACGAGUGGGAAGAUUGCUCCGCCUGGCACGCCACAACAUACAAAGCAACAUAAAUAAAGCUUGGGAACAAACACUGAGGCAUCACCACACACUCCACCAAGUGAAAUCUUCCAACCACAAAAUGAAGAGGAAUACAAAACCACCUGCAGUAUACAAGUGAACACUCACCUGUCUCCACCGUGUGAGCGGCUCCGUGUGUUUUUGUGGUCAGAGGGAGAUGUGUCCUCUGAGCUGGAGUCUUCAUGGAACUGGCGGAUGUCACCUGCAACAGUAACUCAUGAUGGACUUACUCAAACUACAGUGUCAGAUUUAAAACACUCAUUAUUAGUUGUCCAAGAUAUGCUACAAGACAACAACACUACUCAAGUCUCGUGAACAGAAAAGAACAAGGGAAAAGGUCAUAAGAAUAAUUAAUCAUAAAAAAGCAAAAAUGUUAAUCUUACGAGGUUAUCAAGACCACCUGUAAAUGAGUUACCUGUUGACACAGCCUGGGAGAGUGAAGCCUUCCUCUUCAGAGCUCUUGGGGUCAUUUUGUUCAUGGAUGAGAUGGUGGGCCUCAUUGUGCGCUCCCCUCGACUGUUGUCCUCACCAGUCUAUUUAUUAAGAUAGAAACACUGAACUUCUCCAACAAGAACUGGCUAAACAAUUUUUUUUAUUCUAAUUUUUUUCAUAUGGGUUCAUCAUCAUCAAGGCUAAGAUAGGAUCUGCAACAGUAAACUUUGGCAUUUGGGAACAAUCACCCUUAUCUCAUACCAUGGUCUGAUUCAAACCUGUGUGCCUGAAGACCCAUUGGCCCCUAAGUGUAGGAAUUACUAAGCAAUGCUAUACUUUCUUUGGUCUGACUGCAAUGUGACUGAGUGAGCCAAAGUAACUACCAUACUCCUGCCAUGUGCAUCACCUGGUUCAACACCCCGAUGGAGCUGGAGCGAGACAGGGACGAGGAGUAAGACCGUCCUGGUGACUUGCUCUUGGUGCCACUCUUCUUUGCUCCGGCUACAGGGCAAGGUGAGGACAUGCAUUGUUAAUAGUAUGAACAAAAAUAGAAACUUCAAAUAUUAAAUGAUUAAUACUUGCUAGCUAAAUGUUACUGUUAGUUACUCUCAAAUGACUUCAAGAAAUAUCAUAUUGUUUAACAUCGUCUUUUCUGAACAGUUAAUGCAGCUUGGUCAUAGUACACUAUAACCAAAACUAAGGUAUCCUGCUGUCUGCACACACACACACACACACACACACAAAAAAAAAAAAAAAAGUUUUUUUUUUAAGAUUUAAGAUCAGAUGCUACUUCCUAUCAAGGAAUUGAGUUAAUCAUAGAAAUAUUACAUAUGACAGCAACAGGAAAAAACCUUGGCCAGAAUGUUCUGAGUUUACUACAUACUGCUAAAUAGGAGAGCUGGCUACAGUAAAGGAUUACUCUUAAUGGAUAUGUAAUUCUUCAGUUUGUUGUAUGAAUAUUCCCACUAACUGAGUGUGCAUAGGUUUUCUGAUGGUGUGAUUCUGUUGUAUCAAUAUUGCUACAAUAGUUUCUGAUAGCCUUGUUAUGUAUACAAUGGGCUGUAAAGAAUGUGUUAGUCACCCAAAUUUAAUUGAGUGUAGAUAUGUUUCUCUGUGGUGUGAAUCUGUCAUUUCUCAAUCUAUUGUCUAUUGCUGGUUUGAGUUUUAUUUUGUACAAAUAAAGCAGAAAAAGCUGUG
rnacentral:lncRNA from 1 species